CUGGAAAAGACCUCUAAGAUCAUCCAGUCCAACUGUCCACCUACCACAAGUAUUUCCCUCAGGCAUUUCUCUGGAGCUGCUGUCUUCGAGUGCCCUGAUCUGGGCUUACCCAGUACUCAGAGUGACUCCGCCCAUACCUGGGAGGAGCUGGCCCCAUCCUCAGCAGACACAAGAUCCUGUUUCUUUCCUGCAACCCUCGAGAGGCUUGGAGCACAACUCAACUGUCUUUGGAGUCUCCCAGCUCUACAACAGCUCCCUGCAGGGGUGCCCAAGGGCUCAUCAGUUGGCUUGGAAACAUCUGGGAGUCACAUUCAGAGAAGAUGCAUGGAAGCACGAGAUAUUUCUGAUGAAGCACAAACUCCUCACCUUUCUCACCGUUUGGUGAAGAUCAGAUGGAGGCUGGAGACACUCAAAGCAUGCUGUAAGAGCAGAUUAACUGAUGUGGGCUCGCUAGCCGUCAAACAGGAAUGACUUGUGGACAGAAAAGCAGGGGAACACCAUAUGCCUGGGAUUUGUCCUCUUUCCACCCCUGUAGCAUAGGCCAAGUCAAGUUUGAAGGCUCCAUGUGCUUGUCUGUCUGUCAGCUGGGAAAAGGAGCAGCAGCCCAGCAGGGACAGCAAUGCGGGAGGAGCAGGUCCCACCCAUUGGAAGGAUUCAGCUUUGGUAAAACCCUGCCAGCUUUGGGAACGUUAUUGCAGACCAGCAACUGCCCACACUUUGUUGCAGUCUGGGUAAGGCCCUGGAACAUCCAGUGGUCAUUAGAAGUGUGUGGUACUCCAGGAGGGACGGGUCAGUCCUGAGUUCAGCACAGGAGCUGCUAGCAGGGUUUGCUCCUGAGACCCUGAGAAACACAGUAAAUACAGGCACAGAAAAAUGUUCCGUAGGACAGGAAAAAUGUCACCUCACACACAUGAUUUCUAUAUUGAGCUGCACUUGUCAGGAGCCACGGAAUCAACACUUGGCUAAGAAAGCAAAAGCCAGGUAGGGCUCAUUUGCUGACAGGCUCAGUCUCCUGUGGCUGUUGAACUCGAGACCUACAGGGAAGUACAAUCAUUUAUACUGUGCAAAAACCAUCGUUUUUUAUCUCUGUCAGAAUACGAAUGGGAAUACAAACACAUACAGACCCGGGGGUGUAGCUGAGAUCAGCUGUCAAGACAGGAGAGGUGGGGAGGUUUCCUGGGGCACCCGGAGCAGAGCAGCCCCCAAACCUUCAAAGACAGCCCAGCAAGAGUAGUAGAUCCCAGCAGCUGAUAUCUGUAGGCAUUACUUAUCAUUUCAGGGGCGAGACAUCUUGCACUGUAAAGGCUCACUUCCUCUACAACGCUCAGAAAACACCAGUACAAUAAUAAGGGAUAUUUCCCCUCUGCCCCAAUGUCAGUCUUUAUCUCCCAGCCUCCCAUAUGUCUUAUCCAGACCAUAAACACUGUGGGCUCUUCAGCGGAGUCCCUCAUUCACAAACAACAUCAGAACAAUAAACAAACUGCAGACAGCUCCCCAAGGUCUGCUUUCCCAUUGCAAUUGGAUUGUUAAGACACCUGACAAAAAAGAAGCAAAAUGAAUAGGCCUUACUCACAAGCAGUGAUGCCUGCAGCUCAUGGAGAGAGAGCUAAUUGCAGUCUCUGUGCAAAAAAAACCAACAGCAACACAAGAAAAAUAGUACCAUUUGGGGUGAUUUUAUGCAGCUCUUAAGGACUAUAGUUCUGACAAAAGAUUAAUUGCCAACACCUGUAGAUGACACUACAAAGAGGACCCGAAAUGCUGUAUACUAGUAUGUAUGUUGGCUUAAUAAACUAUCAUUUUUGUAA